CGCCUUGCCAGCCCGCUCAGAAACUCAAAUGAAUUGACGGGGGCCCGCACAAGCGGUGGAUUAUGUGGAUUAAUUCGAUGCAACGCGAAAAACCUUACCUGGCCUUGACAUGUACGGAACUUUCCAGAGAUGGAUUGGUGCCCGAAAGGGAGCCGUAACACAGGUGCUGCAUGGCUGUCGUCAGCUCGUGUCGUGAGAUGUUGGGUUAAGUCCCGCAACGAGCGCAACCCUUGCCAUUAAUUGCCAUCAUUUAGUUGGGCACUUUAAUGGGACUGCCGGUGACAAACCGGAGGAAGGUGGGGAUGACGUCAAGUCCUCAUGGCCCUUAUGGCCAGGGCUUCACACGUAAUACAAUGGUCGGUACAGAGGGUUGCCAACCCGCGAGGGGGAGCCAAUCCCAGAAAGCCGAUCGUAGUCCGGAUUGCAGUCUGCAACUCGACUGCAUGAAGUCGGAAUCGCUAGUAAUCGCGGAUCAGCAUGUCGCGGUGAAUACGUUCCCGGGCCUU
rnacentral:rRNA from 1 species